rnacentral:lncRNA from 1 species
AGCGUUGCUGUCCGGACAGAGCAAAAAAAACAAGGCAUCAGUAUUGUUGAGUAUUAGCUUGUACCUGGUUCGGAGGCUAAUCGAAGGCGAGGCGUUGUUUGGGGACAGAUCGCGGCCGGCUGGGGCCUCGGGCAGUGACAGUGAAACGAAUUCCAAACCCAUUCUGAACUCGCCAUGGCGCUCUCCUGCCCUCCAACACCCACCCCAAACACCGUGUUUGCCGGAGAAGGCAGGGGUGAGCCACGGUGGCUGCCCGGCUGUGCACCGGCGCCGGAGUUUGGACCAAGACAAAGACAGGAGCUGUCCGCGGUGCUGAAUCGGCGGCGCCGUCGCCGGAGCAAGGGGGCUUCUGUAACCAGCCCUCUGCUCAUUUACUCCCCAUCCUUCUAGCUCCCCUUCGCUCUGUGACUCUUGCCUUCCCCUGAAUUUAUUUCCCUUUUGGGGGACUCACCUUAGAACCUGCGCCCUGUACACAGGUGUAUAUACAUAUAUCAAAGAACAAAACGAUUGAUUGAAAACGGUGUCUUCUCCUUUCUUCCCAAAUAAAUGAUGUUAGAAAGGUU